GACGAACGCUGGCGGCGUGCUUAACACAUGCAAGUCGAACGGAAAGGCUCCAGCUUGCUGGAGUACUCGAGUGGCGAACGGGUGAGUAACACGUGGGUAAUCUGCCCUGCACUCUGGGAUAAGCCUGGGAAACUGGGUCUAAUACUGGAUAUGACCUUUCUCCUUAUGGUGUUUGGUGGAAAGUUUUUCGGUGUAGGAUGAGCCCGCGGCCUAUCAGCUUGUUGGUGGGGUGAUGGCCUACCAAGGCGACGACGGGUAGCCGGCCUGAGAGGGUGAUCGGCCACAUUGGGACUGAGAUACGGCCCAGACUCCUACGGGAGGCAGCAGUGGGGAAUAUUGCACAAUGGGCGGAAGCCUGAUGCAGCGACGCCGCGUGAGGGAUGACGGCCUUCGGGUUGUAAACCGCUUUCGGCAGGGACGAAGCGUAAGUGACGGUACCUGGAGAAGAAGCACCGGCUAACUACGUG
rnacentral:rRNA from 1 species